GGAUUGGGAGGGUUCUACGGAACCCGUUUGGUGAAUCUAGUGCCGAGAAAAGCCUUCUAUGUGUUGAAUUUCUAGUACCCGUACCCCAAACCGACACAGGUGGGUGGGUAGAGCAUACCUAGGGGCGCGUGAUAACUCUCUCUAAGGAACUCGGCAAAAUGGCCCUGUAACUUCGGGAUAAGGGGUGCCUGCGUGAGCAGGCCGCAGUGAAAUGGCUCUGGCGACUGUUUACCAAAAACACAGGUCUCUGCUAAGUCGUAAGACGAUGUAUAGGGGCUGACUCCUGCCCAGUGCCGGAAGGUUAAGGAAGUUGGUUAGCGCAAGCGAAGCUGGCGACCGAAGCCCCGGUGAACGGCGGCCGUAACAAUAACGGUCCUAAGGUAGCGAAAUUCCUUGCCGGGUAAGUUCCGACCCGCACGAAAGGAGUAACGAUCAGAGCGCUGUCUCGGAGAGAGACACGGCGAAAUAGGAUUGUCCGUGAAGAUACGGACUACCUGCACCCGGACAGAAAGACCCUAUGAAGCUUUACUGUAACUUGGAAUUGUGUUCGGACUUUGUCUGCGCAGAAUAGGUGGGAGGCUAUGAAACGUUCCUCGCGGGGAACUGGAGCCAUCGUUGAGAUACCACUCUGGCAGAGUCUGGAUUCUAACCUACGGGGACAGUUCCAGGUGGGCAGUUUGACUGGGGCGGUCGCCUCCUAAAAUGUAACGGAGGCGCGCAAAGGUUCCCUCAGGCUGGUUGGAAAUCAGCCAUAGAGUGUAAAAGCAUAAGGGAGCUUGACUGUGAGACCUACAAGUCGAGCAGGGACGAAAGUCGGCUUUAGUGAUCCGACGGCACUGAGUGGAAGGGCCGUCGCUCAACGGAUAAAAGUUACUCUAGGAUAACAGGCUGAUCUCCCCCAAGAGUUCACAUCGACGGGGAGGUUUGGCACCUCGAUGUCGGCUCGUCGCAACCUGGGGCGGUAGUACGUCCCAAGGGUUGGGCUGUUCGCCCAUUAAAGCGGCACGUGAGCUGGGUUCAGAACGUCGUGAGACAGUUCGGUCCAUAUCCGGUGUAGGCGUAGGAGCAUUGAAAGGAUCUCUCCUUAGUACGAGAGGACCGGGAGGGACGUACCUCUGGUGUACCUGUUAUCGUGCCAACGGUAAACGCAGGGUAGCCAUGUACGGAGUGGAUAACCGCUGAAAGCAUCUAAGUGGGAAGCCCACCUUAAGAUGAGUGCUCCCUUGAGGCCACGGGAAGACGACCCGUUUGAUAGGCGCUAGGUGGAAGUGCAGUAAUGCAUGCAGCCGAGGCGUACUAAUAGGCCGAUGGCUUGUCCU
rnacentral:rRNA from 1 species